UACGAAGGGGGCUAGCGUUGUUCGGAAUUACUGGGCGUAAAGCGCACGUAGGCGGUCUGUUGCGUCGGCUGUGAAAACCCGGGGCUCAACUCCGGGCCUGCAGCCGAUACGGGCAGACUAGAGUUCGGCAGGGGAGACUGGAAUUCCUGGUGUAGCGGUGAAAUGCGCAGAUAUCAGGAGGAACACCGGUGGCGAAGGCGGGUCUCUGGGCCGAUACUGACGUGAGGAGCGAAAGCGUGGGGAGCGAACAGG
rnacentral:rRNA from 1 species